rnacentral:ncRNA from 1 species
UUGUAGGCCUAGAUUGGAAAUAGUAGAGAUGUCUGUGUACUUGUAGAGAACCGGUGGGUGGUGCAAACCGGGAGACACACAUUUUGAACUCGUCCAUGAGCUACUCCCUGAACUAUAACUUCGCCAAAGCGUAGUGAAUAAAGUAAGGGAUGUCGGAUUCCCCCGUUAUAAGGAUAGACAGUAAUAGCUGUUGAUAAGGGGACUUUUUCUGUAAAGAAAAAGUCAAUUAGAGUGGUACCGCGAGCAAAAACUCGUCUCUAUA